CAAUAGCGUAUAUUAAAGUUGUUGCAGUUAGAACGCUCGUAGUCGGAUUUCGGGGCGGGUCGACCGGUCUGCCGAUGGGUACGCACUGGUCGGCGCGUCCUUCCUUCCGGAGACCGUGCCUACUCUUAACUGAGCGGGGGCGGGAGACGGAUCGUUUACUUUGAAAAAAUCAGAGUGUUUCAAGCAGGCAGCUCGCUCUUGCAUGGAUUAGCAUGGGAUAAUGAAAUAGGACUUUGGUGCUAUUUUGUUGGUUUCGAACACCGAAGUAAUGAUUAACAGGGACAGUCAGGGGCACUCGUAUUCCGCCGAGAGAGGUGAAAUUCUCAGACCAGCGGAAGACGAACUACUGCGAAAGCAUUUGCCAGGGAUGUUUNCACUGA
rnacentral:rRNA from 1 species